UAUAUUCAUUAAUCACACACAGAGUGAUAUAUUUCAAAUGUUCAUUUCUUUUAAUUGUGAUGAUUAUAACUGACAACUAAUGAAAACCCCAAAUUCGGUCUCUCAGAAAAUUAGAAUAUUAUUUAAGACCAUUACAAAA